GACGAACGCUGGCGGCGUGCUUAACACAUGCAAGUCGAACGGAAAGGCCCUGCUUUUGUGGGGUGCUCGAGUGGCGAACGGGUGAGUAACACGUGAGUAACCUGCCCUUGACUUUGGGAUAACUUCAGGAAACUGGGGCUAAUACCGGAUAGGAGCUCCUGCUGCAUGGUGGGGGUUGGAAAGUUUCGGCGGUUGGGGAUGGACUCGCGGCUUAUCAGCUUGUUGGUGGGGUAGUGGCUUACCAAGGCUUUGACGGGUAGCCGGCCUGAGAGGGUGACCGGCCACAUUGGGACUAAGAUACGGCCCAGACUCCUACGGGAGGCAGCAGUGGGGAAUAUUGCACAAUGGGCGGAAGCCUGAUGCAGCAACGCCGCGUGCGGGAUGACGGCCUUCGGGUUGUAAACCGCUUUCGCCUGUGACGAAGCAUGAGUGACGGUAAUGGGUAAAGAAGCACCGGCUAACUACGUG
rnacentral:rRNA from 1 species